CCUACGGGAGGCAGCAGUAGGGAAUCUUGCGCAAUGGGCGAAAGCCUGACGCAGCCAUGCCGCGUGAAGGAUUAAGGUCCUCUGGAUUGUAAACUUCUUUUAUAAGGGACGAAAAAAGGCUUUUCUAAGUCGUCUGACGGUACCUUAUGAAUAAGCACCGGCUAACUCCGUGCCAGCAGCCGCGGUAAUACGGAGGGUGCAAGCGUUAUCCGGAUUCACUGGGUUUAAAGGGUGCGUAGGCGGGCAGGUAAGUCAGUGGUGAAAUCCUAGAGCUUAACUCUAGAACUGCCAUUGAUACUAUCUGUCUUGAAUAUCGUGGAGGUAAGCGGAAUAUGUCAUGUAGCGGUGAAAUGCUUAGAUAUGACAUAGAACACCUAUUGCGAAGGCAGCUUACUACGCAUAUAUUGACGCUGAGGCACGAGAGCGUGGGGAUCAAACAGGAUUAGAUACCCUGGUAGUCCACGCCCUAAACGAUGGAUACUCGACAUACGCGAUACACUGUGUGUGUCUGAGCGAAAGCAUUAAGUAUCCCACCUGGGAAGUAGGACCGCAAGGUUGAAACUCAAAUGAAUUGACGGA
rnacentral:rRNA from 1 species